rnacentral:lncRNA from 1 species
GUGAGGGCUGGCACAAAGCAGUGUGAGUUCAAAGCCUGGACUUGAAUGAUUUUUGAAAACCGUUGACUUGAAACUCUGAGCUCUGUAGGUCUUUGAACUUCCCAUUAUUUCUUUGCGGGCAUUGCUUUGGGAUUUUGUUGUGUUUUUCCCUUUUGUUUCUGGAUGGAAAGGCCUUUCCAAACAGUGCACAAAAGCAAUUUUUGAUGCCCCUGGGGAGGGAGGUAGCCUGACUUUAUGCAUAUAAUAGGCAGGGGAGUUAAUAUUCCACCUUAGAGCUCCUCUCAGGGGAGUUUCUAGCAGACUUAAAGCUCUCUCAGGCCCCAGAAAGAGAACCUGAAACAAAACCUCCAUGUCAAGGAAACGGAUGUAUUUGCUAAAGCAUGUUUAAAUUUUAAUCUAAAAAGAGUAACAAUAUAAUGGGGCUUUCAUUCACUGCAAAUCUGGUUAUUUCACAAAAUCUUCACUGUUGACCUUUCAACCUGGAUGGGUUUGUUUCAAGGUUUUUGAGUUUUGUUUGUUUUUGAGGCCUCCUAAAUAACAUCAAAUAAUAUCCACUCAGUACCAGCUGAAAUCUUAACAUUUAACUGAUAAACGUUGACAGUUUUUGGUUGCACAAUGAAAAACAAAAAAAAGAAAGAUGAAAAUCUAAUGUCACGGUCAUUGGCAGCUGUUUCCUGUGACAAUUAUGGCGCUGUACACUCAUUUCUGCUCAGUGUCUUCUCUAUCCUUUGCACACAGAAGGUGAGAGAGGAGCUGAAACUACCCCCAGAAGUUCCCCCAGGACCAAGGCCAAUCAUCAGAGCAGAAUCUGGGCCAAUCUCAGCAUUUUUUUUUCUUCCGCCCACUUACCUCAGGAGAGCAAACAGUUUGUCUCCUUCCAAGGACCCGCCCACCCCCAGCAACGUCUGGGUGGGGUUCGCGCUCUGCCUGCAGCCCCCAGGCUUACUGGGUGGGGACCUGCCACUCCAGAGCAACUUGAACUUGACCUUGGAAGAGACCGGAAGUUCUUCUGGCAGCAGGCACCAGGGAGGGGCUGGGGGGAAGCGACCUGACCCUUGGAAGGCUGGGUCCUGGCAGCCCAGUGCUGCCAACUAUACCCACCUUCGAGAAGCGGGAGGACCCUGGGCUCCAACAACGCUCUGCGCCCCCAGUGUCACCUCCCACUCUCCUUUGUGGGAGAAGAGCCCGGGGCUGGAGGCGACCAGGACCCAUCCCUGUUUCGACUGCUUGUGGGCAGAGCAAGGGGUCCGUUUAAAUUUCCUUUUAGGCGUCCUUCUUAAAGGACUGAACUUGCGGGAAUCCCCUGGAAGUCCAGUGGUUAGUAGGACCCGGCGCUCUCACUCCCGCCAUGCGUUCGAUCCUUGGUCGGGGAACUAA